CGAUUUACGCAAUCGAAUACCGCCGGAAGUAGAACAUUUAUGUCAACACCAGUUUCGUAUUUUCACGUGAAAACGGCCGAAAACUGAGAGGUUAUCAACAAAUUAUAAGUUUACGGGUACCAUGAGGAUUUUUCAUGCAUUUAAACGAAAGAAGUACAAGCGCACAGAUGACACAUUAAAGUGGCUGCAGAAGCUUGAAAAGUUAGAUAGAGCAGGGGCAGUCAAAACAGUGGGAUAAUACUUCUAUGGUGUCCAACAUGUCUAGUCAGGUUGACAUAAGUGAAAGAUGGUCUGAUGGUACAAUGAUGUACAAAUGAUACUCUUUAACAAGUUGAACAUGUCAAGGCUAAUAUAAUGCCAGUUAUUAAAAUUACAUUCCCCUAAACAUUUAACAUAUACACAUUGUAAAUGUCAUUAAAAUGAUUUUAUGAAGUUUCAUGAAGGAUGGUACAGCCAGUGUUGAUCUGUAUGACUUAAUUAAACACAGAUAUUGAUACCUUCAGAUAUAUACCUGUGAAAUCUUCAGUGUCACCGUUCAGCUAUUGUUCAAGAUCAGUGUCUGCAGCUUGCACAGUUCAGUGUAGAGGAGCCUUCUGAAUCCACUUUGUUACAUAUUUGCUGUUAUUGUAGGACACGCAUGUAGAGAGCAGCAAGUCCUGUCCAGCCGUGCAUGUAAAUGUGAUUCAGAAACUUUGAGAAUAUGUAAACAUUACACUGUUAUAAUUUUCAAAAUACUGUGUCUUGUAGUGUAUCAGUACUGUUUUGUCUCAGUUUAUAGCACAGUAGUUCACAAAUCAAACAUAAGACCAUAGUGAUCAGUAUUAUUAAAAUCAUUAAUUAUUUGUAUGGUGACAAAAUUUAAUUUCGUGCAAUACCACAGUAAAACGUUUGAUAAUUUUCGCUUUUAAAGUUGUAAGUUUAAGGUUGGCAUCAUUUUUUUUUUCUUUCAUAAAUCUAAAAAGUGAUUGGUCAUUAUAACUGCAAUAUUAUUUUAGUAUGACAAAGUUUAUAUUGAACUAAAACACUAAUGUAAAUUUUUGAACUAAUCAAUGCAUUUU
rnacentral:lncRNA from 1 species